GCCUGUGAGACAAAACGGCCUCCGGAGCCGUGUGCGCAGGUUCGAAUCCUGCCGGGGGCA
rnacentral:tRNA from 1 species